UACGAAGGUGGCAAGCGUUACUCGGAAUUACUAGGCGUAAAGGGCAGGUAGGUGGUCUGAUAAGUCUGUUGUGUAAGCUCCCGGCUUAACUGGGAGAGGUCAACGGAUACUGUCAGGCUUGAGUAUGGGAGAGGUUACUGGAAUUCCCGGUGUAGCGGUGAAAUGCGCAGAUAUCGGGAGGAACACCAAUGGCGAAAGCAGGUAACUGGACCAUUACUGACACUAAGCUGCGAAAGCUAGGGGAGCAAACAGG
rnacentral:rRNA from 1 species